GCCUUCUUGGUGUAGUGGUCAGCACGCUCGACGCGUAACCGAGAGGUCCGUGGUUCGAUUCCCGGCGAAGGCG
rnacentral:tRNA from 1 species